rnacentral:rRNA from 1 species
CCUACGGGCGGCAGCAGUGGGGAAUAUUGGACAAUGGGCGAAAGCCUGAUCCAGCCAUGCCGCGUGUGUGAAGAAGGCCUUCGGGUUGUAAAGCACUUUCAGUGGGGAAGAAAGCCUUGGGGCUAAUACCCUCGAGGAAGGACAUCACCCACAGAAGAAGCACCGGCUAACUCCGUGCCAGCAGCCGCGGUAAUACGGAGGGUGCGAGCGUUAAUCGGAAUUACUGGGCGUAAAGCGCGCGUAGGCGGUCUGAUAAGCCGGUUGUGAAAGCCCCGGGCGCAACCUGGGAACGGCAUCCGGAACUGGCAGGCUAGAGUGCAGGAGAGGAAGGUAGAAUUCCCGGUGUAGCGGUGAAAUGCGUAGAGAUCGGGAGGAAUACCAGUGGAGAAGGCGGCCUUCUGGACUGACACUGACGCUGAGGUGCGAAAGCGUGGGUAGCAAACAGGAUUAGAUACCCGGGUAGUC